UGNGGUAUUUUNACCGUGCAAAGGUAGCAUAAUCAGUUGUCUUUUAAUUGAAGGCUGGAAUGAACGGCUGGAUGAGGGAAAGACUGUCUCUUUUGUAAUUCUAUAAUUUGACCUUUAAGUGAAAAGGCUUAAAUUUUCUAGGGGGACGAUAAGACCCUAUAAAACUUUAUAUUUUAAUUUUUUGCUUUAGAUUAUAGAUUAAAAUUGCAAAGUUAUUUAAAUAUUUCGUUGGGGCGACGUUGAUAAAAUCUUAACUGUCUGUGUAAAAGUUAUAGUAAUUACUAGAAUAUGAUCCUUCUUUUGAGGAUAACAAGAAUAAGUUACUUUAGGGAUAACAGCGUAAUUUUCCUCGAGAGUUCUUAUCGAAAGGAAUAGUUGCGACCUCGAUGUUGAAUUAA
rnacentral:rRNA from 1 species